rnacentral:lncRNA from 1 species
CAAACCUCAAAUGUCUAUUCUCAUACUUUCGAAAGUCAUAAAUGCACUCGAAUAUCAAUCAUCAUUUUGAAAUAUAAUCGAACACAAAAAAAAUCACAGAUAAACUAGAAUAUCGUUCAUAAUCUCAAAACAUAAUCACACACACAAAAAAGAUAACAUAUACACUCAAAUGGUCAUUUUUUGGUUUCAUCGCACGAUGUUGUUUAUGUCAUCAUCGAGGAAAUACGA